rnacentral:rRNA from 1 species
CGUCUAUAUACGUAUAGCAUAUCAAUAAGCGGAGGAAAAGAAACUAACAAGGAUUCCCUUAGUAACGGCGAGUGAAGCGGGAAGAGCUCAAAUUUGAAAUCUUCAAGGUUCUGCCUUGACGAAUUGUAGUUUAUAGAAGUGUUUUCUGUUAGUAGAGUGGCAAAAGUUCUUUGGAAUAGGACAUCAUAGAGGGUGAGAAUCCCGUAUUUGGACCAUUAUUUCCAGCUGUGUGAUACACUUUCAAAGAGUACGGAUUGUUUGGGAAUGCAGUCCAAAAUGGGUGGUAAAUUUCAUCUAAAGCUAAAUAUUGGCGAGAGACCGAUAGCGAACAAGUACCGUGAGGGAAAGAUGAAAAGAACUUUGAAAAGAGAGUUAAACAGUACGUGAAAUUGUCAAAAGGGAAGCGUUUGACACCAGUGUUGUUUUUCUCGAAAAUCAAUUCAUGAAUGUCUUGAUGCUAGAAGUUGUUAUGACUUUAUCAGGCUUGCUGUCUAUUUUACUUGAAUCUUUGUUAAUGCACUUUUCGGUUAACAAGUCAACAUCAAUUUCUUUUGCUGUAAAAGGGUAUGAGGAAGGUGGCUUCUCUUCGGAUUGAAGUGUUUAUAGCCUUGUACCUCUGCAAUCGGAGAGAUUGAGGUCUGCAGCGUAGACUCUUCGGGGUUAGAUACAUUUGUGCUAAGUUAUAGCUUUUCAUAGACAACUUGUUGACUAUGUUAAGUCUUGUAGCUUACUCGCUUAUGCUAUUUUACCUACGCUUAGGAUGUUGAUAUGCAUGACUGAUAU